GCUCUUUCAUCUCUAUGUCCCACGUGUC
rnacentral:piRNA from 1 species